AAAUUGAAGAGUUUGAUCAUGGCUCAGAUUGAACGCUGGCGGCAGGCCUAACACAUGCAAGUCGAACGGUAACAGGAAGCAGCUUGCUGUUUCGCUGACGAGUGGCGGACGGGUGAGUAAUGUCUGGGAAACUGCCUGAUGGAGGGGGAUAACUACUGGAAACGGUAGCUAAUACCGCAUAACGUCGCAAGACCAAAGAGGGGGACCUUCGGGCCUCUUGCCAUCGGAUGUGCCCAGAUGGGAUUAGCUAGUAGGUGGGGUAACGGCUCACCUAGGCG
rnacentral:rRNA from 1 species